rnacentral:tRNA from 1 species
GGCGGAUGUAGCCAAGUGGAUCAAGGCAGUGGAUUGUGUGAAUCCCACC